GACGAACGCUGGCGGCGUGCUUAAUACAUGCAAGUCAACUUGCCUCAAGGUAGUAAUAUCUUGAGGAAGGUGGCGCACGGGUGAGUAACACGUAGGUAAUCUGCCUUUAGGGUCUGACAUAAUUCCGCGAAAGCGGGACUAACAUCAGAUGAUGCCAGCGGCUCGACAUCGAGACAGUUGUAAACCUCGGGCCUAAGAUGAGCCUGCGCCUGAUUAGGUAGUUGGCGGAGUAAAAGCCCACCAAGCCUGCGAUCAGUAGCUGGUCUGAGAGGAUGAUCAGCCACACUGGAACUGAGACACGGUCCAGACUCCUACGGGAGGCAGCAGUAAGGAAUAUUGCUC
rnacentral:rRNA from 1 species